AUGCAGGACAAGGCCAAGAAAAUGGCUAGUAAGAAAAAUCUGGAAGGUAAUAAUACUCCUGCUUUCAAAAAUUCAUUUGAUGUGCUUUCUGAUAAUGAGUUGAUUAGCAGAGCUAAUAAGAUAGGGAUAGAAAUACCCAAUGAUGAUUUCGUUGUUGUUGACAUUAUUAGAGAGCUUGAAUGCGCCCGAAAAGAAUUAGAAGAUAAAAAAGAAGAUAAUAAUACUGAAAAAGAGCAGGAUAACUUGAUUGUGACAGAUGGUUUGGGCAGGGAUACCCCUGUGAAUUUAGAAUGGUUAGACCAGGAAGAACAUAUUUAUGAGCGUGUUUCUUCUGUUAAGCCUAAGAAGAAAAGGCAUAGUAAAUCUAAUGUCAAAAUUCCUAGGCCUGUGACUAGGAGUCAGAAAAGAAAAAAUGCUGAGAAAGAUUUGUUAUGUAACCCUGCCCCGUCUCCUGGUAGGGUUACUCGGGCCAAAUUCCACAAAAAACGUUCCAAAUGA
rnacentral:rRNA from 1 species